UCAUAAACUAAAAAAAAAAAAAAAGAACAAGAAUCCAAGCUCUGGACAAAGACUUGUUUGCCAAUGGAGACCGUGAGAACCCAAACUUCUCCAUGUCGAUGAUUCAACGACACAUUUUAGAUCAAUAAUGACUAAAGUUUUUGAGGCAGAACUUGGGACAAAAGCACAUUGAAAUAAUACCUGAAGCUGAAAGCAAGAAAUCAACAUGAUAUAUGAGUAUGCACUUACUGAACAGAGCCACAAAGAAAAAUCAAGUGGAUUUGUGAGCACCGAACCAAGUGGGUCCAAGAAUAAGAAAAAGAGGCAAGCAGAGAGAUAUGAGUGAGAGGCUGAGAAUGGUGAGAUGUGCGAUGCAUCGAUGCAUCAAGGAUAGGCAGAGAGGCGCAUGCAGAGAGAUGCGAACGGAGGGGAGUAGUAUGAGAAUGAGACCAUCCAUUUCUGGAAAUUAAUUUCUGGAAAUGUGGGAGUAAUUUAAAAAAAAUAAGAAGUAAAUGACAUUGAAAUUUUAUGAGAUCCUUGUUCUGGCAAACUCAAAUGGUGUUGGGUUGUGGGGUAGAAUGGCUAGAAAGGAAGGGAGAAAACUUAUCUAUCUCAUGAUGCAUUGGGUUGUGGGUUUGUAGUAGGGCAGAGUGGAAAGAGGUUUGUGGUGUUGGGUUCAAUGAUCUGUGGCAAAAGGGAAUGGGUUUCAAAGUGUUAAAUAAGGGAUGGCAAGGUUGCGCUAGAGAGAGAGAGAGAAGGGAGUGAUCAUGCUUUUGAUUGGGCAAAGUUUAAACUCUUAAGGUAGUGAAUUCAAGAUGUACUGCCUGGGAGCUUAUUUCAGCCUCUAUAAAGACCUUUUCAGAGGACAAACUUGACCAGGAGCAACCUUUGUACAUCCUUCAGGGGGAUUCAUGUAAGCCUCUUCAUAACAAGCCAUAGAGAAAGGCAUUGUUUUUAUCAAGCUAAAACAAUGGCCAACUUUUAGCAGUUGCCAACGCAAGAAGCACUCUAACU
rnacentral:misc_RNA from 1 species